rnacentral:rRNA from 1 species
AUUGAACGCUGGCGGCAUGCUUUACACAUGCGAGUCGAACGGUAACAGGCCUUCGGGUGCUGACGAGUGGCGAACGGGUGAGUAAUGCAUCGGAACGUACCCAGAGGUGGGGGAUAACGCAGCGAAAGCUGUGCUAAUACCGCAUGUGAUCUGAGGAUGAAAGCGGGGGACCGAGCAGCAAUGUUUGGCCUCGCGCCUUUGGAGCGGCCGAUGUCGGAUUGGCUAGUUGGUGGGGUAAAGGCCUACCAAGGCGACGAUCCGUAGCUGGUCUGAGAGGACGACCAGCCACACUGGGACUGAGACACGGCCCAGACUCCUACGGGAGGCAGCAGUGGGGAAUUUUGGACAAUGGGCGCAAGCCUGAUCCAGCAAUGCCGCGUGCGGGAAGAAGGCCUUCGGGUUGUAAACCGCUUUUGGCAGGAACGAAACGGUGUCCGCUAAUACCGGGCGCUAAUGACGGUACCUGCAGAAUAAGCACCGGCUAACUACGU